CGAACGCUGGCGGCAUGCCUAAUACAUGCAAGUCGAACGAAUGCCCUUCGGGGUGUUAGUGGCGCACGGGUGCGUAACGCGUGGGAAUCUGCCCUUUGCUUCGGAAUAACAGUUAGAAAUGACUGCUAAUACCGGAUGAUGUCGCAAGACCAAAGAUUUAUCGGCAAGGGAUGAGCCCGCGUAGGAUUAGCUAGUUGGUGGGGUAAAGGCCUACCAAGGCGACGAUCCUUAGCUGGUCUGAGAGGAUGAUCAGCCACACUGGGACUGAGACACGGUCCAGACUCCUACGGGAGGCAGCAGUAGGGAAUAUUGGACAAUGGGCGAAAGCCUGAUCCAGCAAUGCCGCGUGAGUGAUGAAGGCCUUAGGGUUGUAAAGCUCUUUUACCCGAGAUGAUAAUGACAGUAUCGGGAGAAUAAGCUCCGGCUAACUCCGU
rnacentral:rRNA from 1 species